CCUGGUGGCGAGUGGCGAACGGGUGAGUAAUACAUCGGAACGUGUCCUGUAGUGGGGGAUAGCCCGGCGAAAGCCGGAUUAAUACCGCAUACGCUCUACGGAGGAAAGGGGGGGAUCUUAGGACCUCCCGCUACAGGGGCGGCCGAUGGCAGAUUAGCUAGUUGGUGGGGUAAAGGCCUACCAAGGCGACGAUCUGUAGCUGGUCUGAGAGGACGACCAGCCACACUGGGACUGAGACACGGCCCAGACUCCUACGGGAGGCAGCAGUGGGGAAUUUUGGACAAUGGGGGAAACCCUGAUCCAGCAAUGCCGCGUGUGUGAAGAAGGCCUUCGGGUUGUAAAGCACUUUUGUCCGGAAAGAAAACCACCUGGUUAAUACCUGGGUGGGAUGACGGUACCGGAAGAAUAAGCACCGGCUAACUACGUGCCAGCAGCCGCGGUAAUACGUAGGGUGCAAGCGUUAAUCGGAAUUACUGGGCGUAAAGCGUGCGCAGGCGGUCCGCUAAGACAGAUGUGAAAUCCCCGGGCUUAACCUGGGAACUGCAUUUGUGACUGGCGGGCUAGAGUAUGGCAGAGGGGGGUAGAAUUCCACGUGUAGCAGUGAAAUGCGUAGAGAUGUGGAGGAAUACCGAUGGCGAAGGCAGCCCCCUG
rnacentral:rRNA from 1 species